UCAGGCCUAACACAUGCAAGUCGAACGGUAACAGGUCUUCGGAUGCUGACGAGUGGCGAACGGGUGAGUAAUACAUCGGAACGUGCCCAGUAAUGGGGGAUAGCCCGGCGAAAGCCGGAUUAAUACCGCAUACGCCCUGAGGGGGAAAGUGGGGGACCGCAAGGCCUCACGCUAUUGGAGCGGCCGAUGGCUGAUUAGCUAGUUGGUAGGGUAAAGGCCUACCAAGGCGACGAUCAGUAGCUGGUCUGAGAGGACGAUCAGCCACACUGGGACUGAGACACGGCCCAGACUCCUACGGGAGGCAGCAGUGGGGAAUUUUGGACAAUGGGGGAAACCCUGAUCCAGCAAUGCCGCGUGUGCGAAGAAGGCCUUCGGGUUGUAAAGCACUUUUGUCAGGGAAGAAAUCCUUUGGGCUAAUACCCUAGGGGG
rnacentral:rRNA from 1 species